rnacentral:rRNA from 1 species
ACAGCAGUCGCCACGGUAACACGUAGGGUGCAAGCGUUAAUCGGAAUUACUGGGCGUAAAGCGUGCGCAGGCGGUUCGUUAAGACAGAUGUGAAAUCCCCAGGCUUAACCUGGGAACUGCAUUUGUGACUGGCGGGCUAGAGUAUGGCAGAGGGGGGUAGAAUUCCACGUGUAGCAGUGAAAUGCGUAGAGAUGUGGAGGAAUACCGAUGGCGAAGGCAGCCCCCUGGGCCAAUACUGACGCUCAUGCACGAAAGCGUGGGGAGCAAACAGGAUUAGAUACCCCGGUAGUCCCUGUCUCUUAUAC